rnacentral:sRNA from 1 species
UUUUAGCCCUGAUUGCAGUGAAAAUCCUUUUGAACUAGUGGUAAUUUUUUCUUGAAAGUACAAAGCGACCAAAGGAAGCUCUUGUAAUUUCCUAGAAAAAAAACCAAUAGCUCAAAAGAUUGAAACGGAAAACAGGAUGAAGC